UACGAAGGGGGCUAGCGUUGCUCGGAAUUAUUGGGCGUAAAGAGCUUGUAGGUGGCUCGUCGCGUCGGGAGUGAAAACCCGCGGCUUAACCGCGGGCCUGCUUUCGAUACGGGCGGGCUAGAGUUCGGCAGGGGAGACUGGAAUUCCUGGUGUAGCGGUGGAAUGCGCAGAUAUCAGGAGGAACACCGGUGGCGAAGGCGGGUCUCUGGGCCGAUACUGACACUGAGAAGCGAAAGCGUGGGGAGCGAACAGG
rnacentral:rRNA from 1 species